rnacentral:rRNA from 1 species
GACAGAGGGUGCGAACGUUGUUCGGAAUUACUGGGCGUAAAGCGCGUGUAGGCUGUUCGGAAAGUCGGGCGUGAAAGCCCUGGGCUCAACCUAGGAAGUGCACUCGAAACUCCCGAACUGGAGUCCCGGAGAGGAAGGCGGAAUUCUCGGUGUAGAGGUGAAAUUCGUAGAUAUCGAGAGGAACAUCGGUGGCGAAGGCGGCCUUCUGGACGGUGACUGACGCUGAGACGCGAAAGCGUGGGGAGCAAACAGG